rnacentral:rRNA from 1 species
UGGGGAAUAUUGCACAAUGGGCGCAAGCCUGAUGCAGCCAUGCCGCGUGUGUGAAGAAGGCCUUCGGGUUGUAAAGCACUUUCAGCGAGGAGGAAGGUGGUGAGCUUAAUACGCUCAUCAAUUGACGUUACUCGCAGAAGAAGCACCGGCUAACUCCGUGCCAGCAGCCGCGGUAAUACGGAGGGUGCAAGCGUUAAUCGGAAUUACUGGGCGUAAAGCGCACGCAGGCGGUUUGUUAAGUCAGAUGUGAAAUCCCCGGGCUCAACCUGGGAACUGCAUUUGAAAACUGGCAAGCUAGAGUCUCGUAGAGGGGGGUAGAAUUCCAGGUGUAGCGGUGAAAUGCGUAGAGAUCUGGAGGAAUACCGGUGGCGAAAGGCGGCCCCCUGGACGAAGACUGACGCUCAGGUGCGAAAAGCGUGGGGAGCAAAACAGGAUUAGAUACCCUGGUAGUCCACGCUGUAAAACGAUGUCGAUUUUGGAGGUUGUG